rnacentral:tRNA from 1 species
AGUCAAUGAGUGUGGCGGGUAGCAUUCUGGACUCUGAAUCCAGAGACCUGAGUUUGAGUCUCGGAGAGACCU